rnacentral:rRNA from 1 species
UAACACGUAUCCAACCUGCCGAUGACUCGGGGAUAGCCUUUCGAAAGAAAGAUUAAUACCCGAUGGCAUAGUUCUUCCGCAUGGUAGAACUAUUAAAGAAUUUCGGUCAUCGAUGGGGAUGCGUUCCAUUAGGUUGUUGGCGGGGUAACGGCCCACCAAGCCUUCGAUGGAUAGGGGUUCUGAGAGGAAGGUCCCCCACAUUGGAACUGAGACACGGUCCAAACUCCUACGGGAGGCAGCAGUGAGGAAUAUUGGUCAAUGGACGAGAGUCUGAACCAGCCAAGUAGCGUGAAGGAUGACUGCCCUAUGGGUUGUAAACUUCUUUUAUACGGGAAUAAAGUGAGGCACGUGUGCCUUUUUGUAUGUACCGUAUGAAUAAGGAUCGGCUAACUCCGUGCCAGCAGCCGCGGUAAUACGGAGGAUCCGAGCGUUAUCCGGAUUUAUUGGGUUUAAAGGGAGCGUAGGCGGACGCUUAAGUCAGUUGUGAAAGUUUGCGGCUCAACCGUAAAAUUGCAGUUGAUACUGGGUGUCUUGAGUACAGUAGAGGCAGGCGGAAUUCGUGGUGUAGCGGUGAAAUGCUUAGAUAUCACGAAGAACUCCGAUUGCGAAGGCAGCCUGCUGGACUGUAACUGACGCUGAUGCUCGAAAGUGUGGGUAUCAAACAGGAUUAGAUACCCUGGUAGUCCACACAGUAAACGAUGAAUACUCGCUGU